CAGUCGCCGCGGUAAUACGUAGGGUGCAAGCGUUAAUCGGAAUUACUGGGCGUAAAGCGUGCGCAGGCGGUUAUAUAAGUCAGAUGUGAAAUCCCCGGGCUCAACCUGGGAACUGCAUUUGAGACUGUAUGGCUAGAGUGUGUCAGAGGGGGGUAGAAUUCCACGUGUAGCAGUGAAAUGCGUAGAUAUGUAGAGGAAUACCGAUGGCGAAGGCAGCCCCCUGGGAUAACACUGACGCUCAUGCACGAAAGCGUGGGGAGCAAACAGGAUUAGAGACCCCCGUAGUCCCUGUCUCUUAUAA
rnacentral:rRNA from 1 species